AAAUUUUUUUCUGUGAGCCAUUAAAAAAAAAUGUUUUAAUUUUUUGACAAGAAGAAAAGCUGUUGGCAAUUAAAUAUAAGAAGGUUCUUUAUAGCGAGUAAUCACUGCCCGUUUCUUCACCAUGUCCUCGCACGUUCCUCAAAUAACUUCGGAUCAUAAGGAGCGCACUCUAGCGUCAGGCAUAUCAAGCUUAUGAAAACAUCGAUUCUACGUAAUUCUAUCGUAAAUACGAUAAAAUUCGUUAAGUGUGGACUCGAACGGCACAGUCGAGACGCCAACCAAAAUGUUGCGCCACCUGUUGCUUAAUGAGUGAACUGAUAUGACAUAUGGACUGCUUGAAAACUACUUUGUUUUGCACUGUUUAUGCACAAGACGUAACGUAGUGUUGAGCUCUUACGUUAAUUUUUGAAUUCGGAAACCUGCAAAUUC